rnacentral:rRNA from 10 species
AAAUUGAAGAGUUUGAUCAUGGCUCAGAUUGAACGCUGGCGGCAGGCCUAACACAUGCAAGUCGAACGGUAACAGGAAGCAGCUUGCUGCUUUGCUGACGAGUGGCGGACGGGUGAGUAAUGUCUGGGAAACUGCCUGAUGGAGGGGGAUAACUACUGGAAACGGUGGCUAAUACCGCAUAACGUCGCAAGACCAAAGAGGGGGACCUUCGGGCCUCUUGCCAUCAGAUGUGCCCAGAUGGGAUUAGCUUGUUGGUGAGGUAACGGCUCACCAAGGCGACGAUCCCUAGCUGGUCUGAGAGGAUGACCAGCCACACUGGAACUGAGACACGGUCCAGACUCCUACGGGAGGCAGCAGUGGGGAAUAUUGCACAAUGGGCGCAAGCCUGAUGCAGCCAUGCCGCGUGUAUGAAGAAGGCCUUCGGGUUGUAAAGUACUUUCAGCGGGGAGGAAGGUGUUGUGGUUAAUAACCACAGCAAUUGACGUUACCCGCAGAAGAAGCACCGGCUAACUCCGUGCCAGCAGCCGCGGUAAUACGGAGGGUGCAAGCGUUAAUCGGAAUUACUGGGCGUAAAGCGCACGCAGGCGGUCUGUCAAGUCGGAUGUGAAAUCCCCGGGCUCAACCUGGGAACUGCAUUCGAAACUGGCAGGCUUGAGUCUUGUAGAGGGGGGUAGAAUUCCAGGUGUAGCGGUGAAAUGCGUAGAGAUCUGGAGGAAUACCGGUGGCGAAGGCGGCCCCCUGGACAAAGACUGACGCUCAGGUGCGAAAGCGUGGGGAGCAAACAGGAUUAGAUACCCUGGUAGUCCACGCCGUAAACGAUGUCUACUUGGAGGUUGUGCCCUUGAGGCGUGGCUUCCGGAGCUAACGCGUUAAGUAGACCGCCUGGGGAGUACGGCCGCAAGGUUAAAACUCAAAUGAAUUGACGGGGGCCCGCACAAGCGGUGGAGCAUGUGGUUUAAUUCGAUGCAACGCGAAGAACC